GCCUAAUACAUGCAAGUCGAACGCUUCUUUUCCCACCGGAGCUUGCUCCACCGGGAAAAGAGGAGUGGCGAACGGGUGAGUAACACGUGGGUAACCUGCCCAUCAGAAGGGGAUAACACUUGGAAACAGGUGCUAAUACCGUAUAACAAUCGAAACCGCAUGGUUUCGUUUUGAAAGGCGCUUUACGGUGCCGCUGAUGGAUGGACCCGCGGUGCAUUAGCUAGUUGGUGAGGUAACGGCUCACCAAGGCCACGAUGCAUAGCCGACCUGAGAGGGUGAUCGGCCACAUUGGGACUGAGACACGGCCCAAACUCCUACGGGAGGCAGCAGUAGGGAAUCUUCGGCAAUGGACGAAAGUCUGACCGAGCAACGCCGCGUGAGUGAAGAAGGUUUUCGGAUCGUAAAACUCUGUUGUUAGAGAAGAACAAGGGUGAGAGUAACUGUUCACCCCUUGACGGUAUCUAACCAGAAAGCCACGGCUAACUACGUGCCAGCAGCCGCGGUAAUACGUAGGUGGCAAGCGUUGUCCGGAUUUAUUGGGCGUAAAGCGAGCGCAGGCGGUUUCUUAAGUCUGAUGUGAAAGCCCCCGGCUCAACCGGGGAGGGUCAUUGGAAACUGGGAGACUUGAGUGCAGAAGAGGAGAGUGGAAUUCCAUGUGUAGCGGUGAAAUGCGUAGAUAUAUGGAGGAACACCAGUGGCGAAGGCGGCUCUCUGGUCUGUAACUGACGCUGAGGCUCGAAAGCGUGGGGAGCAAACAGGAUUAGAUACCCUGGUAGUCCACGCCGUAAACGAUGAGUGCUAAGUGUUGGAGGGUUUCCGCCCUUCAGUGCUGCAGCUAACGCAUUAAGCACUCCGCCUGGGGAGUACGACCGCAAGGUUGAAACUCAAAGGAAUUGACGGGGGCCCGCACAAGCGGUGGAGCAUGUGGUUUAAUUCGAAGCAACGCGAAGAACCUUACCAGGUCUUGACAUCCUUUGACCACUCUAGAGAUAGAGCUUCCCCUUCGGGGGCAAAGUGACAGGUGGUGCAUGGUUGUCGUCAGCUCGUGUCGUGAGAUGUUGGGUUAAGUCCCGCAACGAGCGCAACCCUUAUUGUUAGUUGCCAUCAUUUAGUUGGGCACUCUAGCAAGACUGCCGGUGACAAACCGGAGGAAGGUGGGGAUGACGUCAAAUCAUCAUGCCCCUUAUGACCUGGGCUACACACGUGCUACAAUGGGAAGUACAACGAGUCGCGAAGUCGCGAGGCUAAGCUAAUCUCUUAAAGCUUCUCUCAGUUCGGAUUGUAGGCUGCAACUCGCCUACAUGAAGCCGGAAUCGCUAGUAAUCGCGGAUCAGCACGCCGCGGUGAAUACGUUCCCGGGCCUUGUACACACCGCCCGUCACACCACGAGAGUUUGUAACACCCGAAGUCGGUGAGGUAACCUUUUUGGAGCCAG
rnacentral:rRNA from 1 species